rnacentral:rRNA from 1 species
AACGAACGCUGGCGGCAUGCCUAACACAUGCAAGUCGAACGAGACCUUCGGGUCUAGUGGCGCACGGGUGCGUAACGCGUGGGAACCUGCCCUUAGGUUCGGAAUAACUCCCCGAAAGGGGUGCUAAUACCGGAUAAUGUCUUCGGACCAAAGAUUUAUCGCCUUUGGAUGGGCCCGCGUUGGAUUAGCUAGUUGGUAGGGUAAAAGCCUACCAAGGCGACGAUCCAUAGCUGGUAUGAGAGGAUGAUCAGCCACACUGGGACUGAGACACGGCCCAGACUACUACGGGAGGCAGCAGUGGGGAAUAUUGGAAAAUGGGCGAAAGACUGAUCAAGCAAUGCCGCGUGAGUGAUGAAGGCAUUAGGGUUGUAAAGCUCUUUUAACCGGGAUGAUAAUGACAGUACCGGGAGAAUAAGCUCCGGCUAACUCCGUG